rnacentral:rRNA from 1 species
ACGCCCUACGGGGGAAAGCGGGGGACCUUCGGGCCUCGCGCUAUUAGAUGAGCCUGCGUUGGAUUAGCUAGUUGGUGGGGUAAUGGCCUACCAAGGCGACGAUCCAUAGCUGGUCUGAGAGGAUGAUCAGCCACACCGGGACUGAGACACGGGCCGGACUCCUGCGGGAGGCAGCAGUGGGGAAUAUUGCGCAAUGGGCGAAAGCCUGACGCAGCCAUGCCGCGUGUGUGAAGAAGGCCCUCGGGUUGUAAAGCACUUUGAAUUGGGAGGAAAGGCUGACGGCUAAUACCCGAGAGCUGUGACGUUACCUUUAGAAGAAGCACCGG